rnacentral:rRNA from 1 species
CCUACGGGUGGCAGCAGUGGGGAAUAUUGGACAAUGGGGGAAACCCUGAUCCAGCGACGCCGCGUGAGUGAAGAAGUAUUUCGGUACGUAAAGCUCUAUCAGCAGGAAAGAAAAUGACGGUACCUGACUAAUAAGCCCCGGCUAACUACGUGCCAGCAGCCGCGGUAAUACGUAGGGGGCAAGCGUUAUCCGGAUUUACUGGGUGUAAAGGGAGCGUAGACGGCAGCGCAAGUCUGGAGUGAAAUGCCGGGGCUCAACUCCGGAACUGCUCUGGAAACUGUGAAGCUGGAGUGCAGGAGAGGUAAGCGGAAUUCCUGGUGUAGCGGUAAAAUGCGUAGAUAUCAGGAGGAACACCGGCGGCGAAGGCGGCUUACUGGACUGUAACUGACGUUGAGGCUCGAAGGCGUGGGGAGCAAACAGGAUUAGAUACCCCGGUAGUC